AGAGUUGAUCAUGGCUCAGGAUGAACGCUGGCGGCGUGCUUAACACAUGCAAGUCAAGGGGGCCCGAGGCGCAAGCCUUGGGCAACCGGCGAACGGGUGCGUAACACGUGAGCAACCUACCGAAAUGUGGGGGAUAGCCGGCCCAACGGCCGGGUAAUACCGCAUACGCUCGAGACCGGGCAUUUGGACUCGAGGAAAUUUACGGAGCAUUUCGAGGGGCUCGCGGCCUAUCAGCUAGUUGGUGAGGUAACGGCUCACCAAGGCGACGACGGGUAGCUGGUCUGAGAGGAUGGCCAGCCACAUUGGGACUGAGAUACGGCCCAGACUCCUACGGGAGGCAGCAGUGGGGAAUCUUGCGCAAUGGCCUAACGGCUGACGCAGCGACGCCGCGUGAGGGAUGACGCUCUUCGGAGUGUAAACCUCUUUUGUCUGAGACGAACUGUCAGCUUUAGCUGAUUUGACGGUAUCGGGCGAAUAAGCACCGGCUAACUCCGUGCCAGCAGCCGCGGUAAUACGGGGGGUGCGAGCGUUGUCCGGAAUCACUGGGCGUAAAGGGCGCGUAGGUGGUCUUAUAAGGGUGUGGUGAAAGCCCGGGGCUCAACCCCGGGUCGGCCGUGCCGACUGUGAGACUAGAGUGCUGUAGGGGCAGGCGGAAUUCCGGGUGUAGCGGUGGAAUGCGUAGAGAUCCGGAGGAAGACCGGUGGCGAAGGC
rnacentral:rRNA from 1 species